UUUACCGGUUAAUAGCUCAAGCAUCACUACACCAAACCCAUACACAUCGCUCUUCUCAGUCAGUUGAUUCGUCAUGUAGUACUCAGGAUCCAGGGUCUCCCACAAGUUUGGAAAGGCCGAAAUCGGCAACUUUUGCGGUUAGAUGUUCAUUAAGUAAUAUGUUAUUUGAUUUGACGUCUCUGUGUAUAAUUGGAGGAUCAGCAAGCUCAUGAAGGUUCAUCAGCACCAAAGAACUAACUAAAAGAAGAAAUAUUUGAUAUUUACCUGAUAGAGCAUCUCUAAGAGAGCCAUUGGGUAUG